CAGGACGAACGCUGGCGGCGUGCCUAAUACAUGCAAGUCGAACGGUCUUUCUAUGGAAGCUUGCUUCCACUGAGAAGAUAGUGGCGAACGGGUGAGUAACACGUGGGUAACCUGCCCAUAAGAGGGGGGAUAACAUCCGGAAACGGGUGCUAAUACCGCAUAGUUUUCUUGGUCGCAUGAUCGGGAAAGGAAAGACGGCCUUUGUGCUGUCGCUUAUGGAUGGACCCGCGGCGUAUUAGUUAGUUGGUGAGGUAACGGCUCACCAAGACGAUGAUACGUAGCCGACCUGAGAGGGUGAUCGGCCACAUUGGGACUGAGACACGGCCCAAACUCCUACGGGAGGCAGCAGUAGGGAAUCUUCCGCAAUGGACGAAAGUCUGACGGAGCAACGCCGCGUGAGUGAAAGAAGGUUUUCGGAUCGUAAAACUCUGUUGUCAGAGAAGAACAAGUUGGAGAGUAACUGCUCCAGCCUUGACGGUAUCUGACCAGAAAGCCACGGCUAACUACGUGCCAGCCGCGGC
rnacentral:rRNA from 1 species